CUCAUACCUAAACCCAAGAAGCACUUUCUUAUAGUGAUGGUUAAACAGAUGCAAACAGCAAGCAGAUCUCAUCACCUUUGCAGUGACAUCCAUCUAGAAAGGUGCUAGAGCUGACAUAC
rnacentral:snoRNA from 1 species